rnacentral:rRNA from 1 species
CACGUAGGGCGCGAGCGUUGUCCGGAAUUAUUGGGCGUAAAGAGCUCGUAGGCGGCCUGUUGCGUCCGCUGUGAAAGCCCGGGGCUUAACCCCGGGUCGGCAGUGGAUACGGGCAGGCUAGAGGUAGGUAGGGGAGAAUGGCAUUCCCGGUGUAGCGGUGAAAUGCGCAGAUAUCGGGAGGAACACCGGUGGCGAAGGCGGUUCUCUGGGCCUUACCUGACGCUGAGGAGCGAAAGCGUGGGGAGCGAACAGG